GGGCCUGUAGCUCAGCUGGUAGAGCGCCUCAAUGGCAUUGAGGAGGCCAGCGGUUCGAUCCCGCUCAGGUCCA
rnacentral:tRNA from 1 species